AUUGAACGCUGGCGGCAGGCUUAACACAUGCAAGUCGAGCGGGGUGAUGGUGCUUGCACUAUCACUUAGCGGCGGACGGGUGAGUAAUGCUUAGGAAUCUGCCUAUUAGUGGGGGACAACAUCUCGAAAGGGAUGCUAAUACCGCAUACGUCCUACGGGAGAAAGCAGGGGAUCACUUGUGACAUUGCGCUAAUAGAUGAGCCUAAGUCGGAUUAGCUAGCUGGUGGGGUAAAGGCCUACCAAGGCGACGAUCUGUAGCGGGUCUGAGAGGAUGAGCCGGCACACGGGGACUGGGAAACGGGCCAGACUCCUACGGGAGGCAGCAGUGGGGAAGAGUGGACAAGGGGGGGAACCCUGAUCUAGCCAUGCCGCGUGGGUGAAGAAGGCCUUAUGGUUGUAAAGCACUUUAAGCGAGGAGGGGGCUCGUUUGGUUAAUACCCAAGAUGAGUGGACGUUACUCGCAGAAUAAGCACCGGCUAACUCUGUGCCAGCCGCCGCCGUAA
rnacentral:rRNA from 1 species